rnacentral:rRNA from 1 species
AUUGAACGCUGGCGGAAUGCUUUUACACAUGCAAGUCGAACGGCAGCACGGGGCAACCUGGUGGCGAGUGGCGAACGGGUGAGUAAUGCAUCGGAACGUGCCAUUGAGUGGGGGAUAACGUAGCGAAAGUUGCGCUAAUACCGCAUAUUCUGUGAGCAGGAAAGCAGGGGACCGCAAGGCCUUGCGCUCUUUGAGCGGCCGAUGUCAGAUUAGCUAGUUGGUGAGGUAAAGGCUUACCAAGGCGACGAUCUGUAGCGGGUCUGAGAGGAUGAUCCGCCACACUGGAACUGAGACACGGUCCAGACUCCUACGGGGAGGCAGCAGUGAGGAAUUUUGGCAAUGGGGGGAAACCCUGAACCAGCGACGCCGCGUGUGGGAUGAAUGAGCUUUGCUCUGUAAGCCACUGUCGGAGGGGAAGAAAAGCAGCCUUAGGCUGCCGGGACUGUACCCUAAAAGGAAGGAUCGGCUAACUACGUGCCAGCAG